UCGGAUGAAUGCCGGCUGGACACAGGACACGAUUGCGAUUUCCGAUACUCCCCGCUCCUUGUGGGGACGGAGGGAGGGGAAGAGGGCCUCCGCUUCUUCGUUUUCUGCCCGGCAAUUCGAUUUUUCGCUCGCUUCAUUCUCGGCGUUGUUCAAAUCGAGUGGGAGGAAGAAGAGAGGGAGACCAAGGAGGAGGAAGGAAAGAUCGGCCAUGGCGUCGGAGGAGGAUCGAGAGAGCCAUGUCUGCAUUGCUAAGCCCGCCGAGCAGGAUGACUUGGAACGCUUAUCAUCUGGUAAUAGUGAAGAAUCUAAAUCUCAAUCAGUGGAAAGUUCUAAUGAUAAAGAAAACAUAUGCAUGAAUGAUGCACCUGAAAGCAUUGUCAAACAUAAAAGUUUUUUGGUCAGCGAUAUGAAUGAUGCACCCGAAAGUAGCAUUGUUGCUGGCAAUAAGAAAGAUGAACAUGAUAGUACUUUUACCAGUUGUAAAAAUAGUACAAGUGUAAGCACUGGAAUUAUUGUUGACUCUUAUAUUCCAGCAGAAGGAAUGCAAUUUGAUAGUGAGGAUGAUGCUUAUCAUUUUUACAAUGAUUAUGCACUAAAACAUGGCUUCAGUGUUCGAAAGUUCUCUUGGGACAGAAAUGCAAAGGGUGUAGUUGUGAGAAAGACAUUUGUUUGUUCUAAGCAAGGUUGGAAGAAUUCAAGUGCAAAUCCAAGAACACGUAAACCGGAUACAAGAUGUGGUUGUCCAGCGAGAAUAGUUCUAAGAAGGCUUUCAGAUGGAAAAUUUGUUGUGCGUACCUUCGUAUGUGGUCAUAAUCAUCCUUUGGCACCUUCAUCUAUGUCUCACUUAUUAAGGUCUCAUCGUAAAGUGACCUCUUUGCAUCUUGCAACAAGUGCAAUAAGUGAAUUAGCAGAUAAUGUUGGCAUUACACCAAAGGAGACAGAUAAUGAUUUUGUAAAGGAAAACAAUGAUCCUGAUAAUGUACCAUUGAUAGCCAUGGAUGAUCGAAACCUCUUGGGGACAAAAAGGACAAAGACCAUGAAAAAUAGUGAAAUAUGUGCCUUGGUUGAUUAUUUGCAGAAGAAAUCAAGUGAAGACCUUGGUUUUUAUAAUGCAAUGCAAUUAGAUGAAGACGGAUAUGCUACAAAUAUAUUUUGGGCAGACUCAAGGGCAAGAGUAGAUUAUGCAUGUUUCAGUGAUGUGCUUGUUUUUGACACGACAAUAAAGAUGAACAGUCAUCAGUGGCCAUUUGUGCAGUUUGUAGGAGUGAAUCAUCAUUCACAGAGUUGCAUUUUUGGUAGCGCAUUUUUGUAUAACGAGACCAUAGAAACCAUUGAGUGGCUGUUUAGAGUCUUUACUGAAGCAAUGAAUGGGAAACAUCCUCAAACUGUACUAACAGAUGGUGAUAAUGCAAUUGCAGUUGCAGUGUCUCAUAUAUGGCCUAAUGCACAUCAUCGCUUCUGUUUAUGGCAUAUUUUGCAAAAUGCAGGAAAAAACAUAGGUGAUAUACUUGAUCAAAAGAUGGGUUUCAAGGAGAGUUUUACAAGGUGGAUAUUUCAAUGUGAAGAUGAUGACACUUUUCGAUCUGCAUGGGAGCAAAUGGUUCAUUUUUACAACCUUGAAGAGAACAUAUGGCUGCAAAAGUUAUAUGAAGAUAAAGAAAAGUGGGCAUUAGCAUAUGGAAGACAAUAUUUCUGUGCAGAUAUGAUAAAUACACAAAGAGCUGAAAGUAUGCAUGCUACCCUAAAUAAAUGUUUAUAUUCUUGUUCAACAAUCUUUCGUUUCAUGAAACUGUAUGAAGUAUUUGUAGAUGGUCUUAGACAGAGUGAACUUCAAGAAGAUGUAAAAGGUUUUAACACACGUGCUGUAAAUUUGGGCAUGAAAAUGUUGAUACGAGCUGGAGAUCUGUAUACCUCAGUUGCAUUUGAAUGGCUUAAGAAAGAGGUAAUUGAGGUUAUGAAUUGCAAUAUAGAGGUAGAUAUGCAAGAGCUAGAUAUGCACAAGUACCAUGUAAUAUGGGAGGGAGAUGAGCCUCCUAAAAGGCAGGAGGCAUAUGUUACAUAUAACGUUAACAAAGAAACAGUUGAGUGUACAUGCAAAAAAUAUGAGUUCAAAGGUAUUUUAUGUCGUCAUGCAUUAAAGGCACUUGAUCGGGAGAACAUUAAAGAAAUACCUGAGUCAUAUGUAAUGCGAAGAUGGACAAAAUAUGCAAAGAUAGAGAUGUUGAAUACAAGUUAUGUAGGUGUAGAUGAUAAGUGUUGUGUAACCUCUCGUUACCAACUUAUGUGCAAAUCACUUUUGCAUGUUGCAGAUUUAGCAUCAAGAAGUGAAGAUGCGUAUGAAUACAUGAGUAAAUUAACAAACGAUGCAUUAGAAAAGGUGUUUUUGCUUCACCAUCAGUCUAUUCCAUCUCAUGGAGAUCAGUCUAUAAAAAUAAGUGAAGGACCACAAUGAAGCUCCUCCCAUGCUUAAGUGUGAAUAUCAUUUUCAGAAAGUCAGAAGUCAGUGUUGUAGAUAAAGAUGUUCGAUACAUAUAGUGAAGGGUAUUAAAAAGAAGUUAGAAUUUGAUUGCAACCAUCACAAGAUGAAGAAUGCAGUAGAGACUAUUGGUGAGAAAACAGAUAAGAAUAAUGUAAAUCAAGAAAUGACCAAGCCAUCCACAGGACAAGUCUUCUAAACCACCCCUUCUUUUUGGACUGGCAUCUGAUUGUGAAGAAGGAAGGUUUAUGUAGAUUCAAAGGUAUCUUCUAUGUAUAUUAGUAAUUCAGCUGGCUGGCAUUGAAUUGAUCCGAGGUUUCCUUGUGUUUAAGUAAACUUUACUGCAGAUCUGCACUUGCAGUGAUUAAAUACUGGGUUCGCAAAUGUGCCUUGUGACCUUAUCCUCGAGUAUAUCAUAGUAAGACAUUGAUCUGUCUCUUCAUAAAUAAAGAAGUUCUAUUUGUGUUUUGUA